rnacentral:rRNA from 1 species
CCUACGGGUGGCAGCAGUAGGGAAUAUUGCGCAAUGGGGGAAAGCCUGACGCAGCAACGCCGCGUGGAGGAUGAAGGUUUUCGGAUUGUAAACUCCUUUUGUGAGAGACGAUAAUGAUGGUAGCUAACGAAUAAGCACCGGCUAACACCGUGCCAGCAGCCGCGGUAAUACGAAGGGUGCAAGCGUUACUCGGAAUCACUGGGCGAAAAGAGCGCGUAGGCGGGAUAGCAAGUCAGAUGUGAAAUCAUAUGGCUGAACCAGAGAACUGCAUUUGAAACGGUUAUUCUAGAGUAUGGGAGGGGUAGGUGGAAUUCGUGGUGUAGGGGUAAAAUCCGUAGAGAUCAAGAGGAAUACUCAUUGCGAAGGCGACCUGCUAGAACAUAACUGACGCUGAUGCGCGAAAGCGUGGGAGCAAACAGGAUUAGAUACCCUGGUAGUC